rnacentral:rRNA from 1 species
AUUGAACGCUGGCGGCAGGCCUAACACAUGCAAGUCGAACGAGUGGCGGACGGGUGAGUAAUGUCUGGGAAACUGCCUGAUGGAGGGGGAUAACUACUGGAAACGGUAGCUAAUACCGCAUACCAUCGGAUGUGCCCAGAUGGGAUGAGCCAGUAGGUGGGGUAACGGCUCACCUAGGCGAAGAUCCAUAGCUGGUCUGAGAGGAUGACCAGUCACACUGGAACUGAGACACGGUCCAUGCUCCUACGGUAGGCAGCAGUGGGGAAUAUUGCACAAUGGGCGCAAUCCUGAUGCAGCCAUGCCGAGUGUAUGAAGAAGACCUUGGGGUUGUAAAGUACGUGCAGCGGGGAGGCGUUACCCGCAGAAGAAGCACCGGCUAACUCCGUGCCAGCAGCCGCGGUAAUUC